GAUGAACGCUGGCUACAGGCUUAACACAUGCAAGUCGAGGGGAAACGACGGGGAAGCUUGCUUCCCCGGGCGUCGACCGGCGCACGGGUGAGUAACGCGUAUCCAACCUGCCUCUGACUGAGGGAUAACCCGUCGAAAGUCGGCCUAAUACCUCAUGGUAUCGUCUGCGGGCAUCCAACGACGAUUAAAGAUUUCAUCGGUCAGGGAUGGGGAUGCGUCUGAUUAGCUUGUUGGCGGGGUAACGGCCCACCAAGGCUACGAUCAGUAGGGGUUCUGAGAGGAAGGUCCCCCACAUUGGAACUGGGACACGGUCCAAACUCCUACGGGAGGCAGCAGUGAGGAAUAUUGGUCAAUGGGCGAGAGCCUGAACCAGCCAAGUAGCGUGCAGGAAGACGGCCCUAUGGGUUGUAAACUGCUUUUAUGCGGGGAUAAAGUGAGGGACGUGUCCCUCAUUGCAGGUACCGCAUGAAUAAGGACCGGCUAAUUCCGUG
rnacentral:rRNA from 1 species